CGUUAGCGGCGGACGGGUGAGUAACACGUGGGUGACCUACCUAUAAGACUGGGAUAACUCCGGGAAACCGGGGCUAAUACCGGAUAAUACAUGAAACCGCAUGGUUUCAUGAUGGAAGACGGUUUUGCUGUCACUUAUAGAUGGACCCGCGGCGUAUUAGCUAGUUGGUAAGGUAACGGCUUACCAAGGCAACGAUACGUAGCCGACCUGAGAGGGUGAUCGGCCACACUGGAACUGAGACACGGUCCAGACUCCUACGGGAGGCAGCAGGC
rnacentral:rRNA from 1 species